rnacentral:tRNA from 1 species
GGGGAUGUGGCUCAGGGGUAGAGUCCUUGCCUAACAGGCACAAGGCCCUGGGUUCAAUCACCAGCACCACA